AGAGUUUGAUCAUGGCUCAGGAUGAACGCUGGCGGCGUGCCUCAUACAUGCAAGUCGAACGCUUUGUGCUUCAUUGAUAUGAUGAGCUUGCUCUGAUUUGAUUUUUUGAUUUCAAAGAGUGGCGAACGGGUGAGUAACACGUGGGUAACCUACCUCUUAGCAGGGGAUAACAUUUGGAAACAAGUGCUAAUACCGUAUAAUACCAACAACCGCAUGGUUGUUGGUUGAAAGAUGGUUCUGCUAUCACUAAGAGAUGGACCCGCGGUGCAUUAGCUAGUUGGUAAGGUAAUGGCUUACCAAGGCAAUGAUGCAUAGCCGAGUUGAGAGGCUGAUCGGCCACAAUGGGACUGAGACACGGCCCAUACUCCUACGGGAGGCAGCAGUAGGGAAUCUUCCACAAUGGGCGCAAGCCUGAUGGAGCAACGCCGCGUGUGUGAUGAAGAGUUUCGGCUCGUAAAACACUGUUAUAAGAGAAGAACGGCACUGAGAGUAACUGUUCAGUGUGUGACGGUAUCUUACCAGAAAGGAACGGCUAAAUACGUGCCAGCAGCCGCGGUAAUACGUAUGUUCCAAGCGUUAUCCGGAUUUAUUGGGCGUAAAGCGAGCGCAGACGGUUAUUUAAGUCUGAAGUGAAAGCCCUCAGCUCAACUGAGGAAUUGCUUUGGAAACUGGAUGACUUGAGUGCAGUAGAGGAAAGUGGAACUCCAUGUGUAGCGGUGAAAUGCGUAGAUAUAUGGAAGAACACCAGUGGCGAAGGCGGCUUUCUGGACUGUAACUGACGUUGAGGCCCGAAAGUGUGGGUAGCAAACAGGAUUAGAUACCCUGGUAGUCCACACCGUAAACGAUGAGUGCUAGUAUGUUCGAGGGUUUCCGCCCUUGAGUGUCGCAGCUAACGCAUUAAGCACUCCGCCUGGGGAGUA
rnacentral:rRNA from 1 species